rnacentral:rRNA from 1 species
CCAUACCGCGUGCAGGAUGACGGCCCUCUGGAUUGUAAACUGCUUUUGAAUGGGAAGAAUGUGUGGCUUGCGAGCUAUAAUGACGGUACCAUUAGAAUAAGCCACGGCUAACUACGUGCCAGCAGCCGCGGUAAUACGUAGGUGGCGAGCGUUAUCCGGAUUUAUUGGGUUUAAAGGGUGCGUAGGCGGCUUAAUAAGUCGGUGGUUAAAAGUAGCAGCUUAACUGUUUUACAUGCCAUCGAUACUGUUGAGCUUGAGAUAUUUGGAGGCAGCUAGAAUUUCCGGUGUAGCGGUGAAAUGCAUAGAUACCGGAAGGAAUACCAAUUGCGAAGGCAGGUUGCUACGAAUAAACUGACGGUGAUGCACGAAAGCGUGGGGAUCAAACAGGAUUAGAUACCCUGGUAGUUCACGCCGUAAACGAUGAUUACUAGUUGUUGGGGGUUUAAGCCUCAGUGACCAAGGGAAACCGAUAAGUAAUCCACCUGGGGAGUAGGCCGGCAACGG